rnacentral:lncRNA from 1 species
AAAAAACCCAAAUUUUGAUGGUUUGGUUUGGAUUGACUUAAAACUCAAACCAAACCAACCCAUGCCCACCCCUAUCUAUUAAACCAUCUCAAAAAGACUCUAUAAAUUUUACUCUUUAAAUAUCUAUUUGCUUACCUAUGUGGCAAAUAGAAGAGUAAAAAAAUAUGUUAUUCUCUAAAAGACUCUUCAAAUAAAAAUGAGUUAAUAUUAUUUUGGAUAUUAUCAUUUUCUCACCAAAGGUAUUCUGACACAUCAUGUCAGUACCAUGGUUUGGUAAAACUAUCAUUUUACCACCAAACGUUUAAACUGUUAGCAUUUUCCCACCAUUCCGUUAAAACUCAGUUAAUAUUUAACGAAAAAUUCUUAAAAGGUCAAUUUUACCCCUGGAGCGUAAAUGACGAUUUUGCCCUUUAAGAAUGAACAGCAGCAAGUGAUGAUUAAAUUACAAAAAUAACCCCAAAAGUAGCUGUUACAUUCAAAUAACGGCUACUUUUAUGCUUAUAAGAGUUGCUGCUGGUUUCCAUUUCAACCAGCAACCAUCAACCCCAUUUGAGCACCAACAACCCAGCUGAAAAAGAAAGAAAAUGGCAACCUAGCAACUCAAUUUUUAACGCACAACUACAAGUCACAGUAAACAUUUCAAUAACACUGCACCAGCAAGCCCAAACCAUUUUUAAACACCAGCAAGCUCAUUUUAUUACUAGCAAUCAGGCCAUUUCAACCCCAACUAGCAACCCCAUUUGAGCCCUAGCAACCUAGAAAAUGACAUGCCCAGCUCAAAGACGGCAAAACCAAACAUACUUUAUCAUUCAAAGACAGCAACAAUAAGCCACUGUAAACACUACAUUUCAUCCAAGCUAAAAAAAUCCAGCUCUUCUUAAUUUUCACUCAAAACCAAACAUAGUUUCAGCCUUCAUACACAUAAAUUCAAACAAAACAAUGGCAUCCAGUAGUAACUUAAGUGUUAAUACCAGGGUUCGAGCUAAGAAACAUGCUGAAGUUACCUACUACCCUAAAUACUGUAAUUGUGGAGUGCAGGCAUGUGCGAUGGUAUCUACAACCUCGGAAAACCCUAAUAAGCUCUUUUGGACAUGCAGGUUUAAAAAAUGUAAUUUUUGGCAAUGGGCAGCAAAAGAAGAUAUGGAAAUGCGUAACAUUACAUCCGGUCAUGGCAUGAACCUAAAUGAAGAUGUGAUGAAGAUAAGUGAACGACUACGAUGCAUUGAAGUGAAACUGAAAUUGGUCAUAGUUUUUAUUUGUGGCAUUGUGAUAGGCUUAUUUAUGAGGAAGUAAUGUAAUAAACAUGAAAAAAUAUUGUAGCAAUCAAUCAUUGUAGCUGAAGAUGUAAUGAAGCAUUAUAGUUUAAGAUGUAAUGCAACUGGAAAGUAAUCAAAACAGUUUGUGGAUUCCAAAAACAUAACAGCAUCUAAAAUACAUAACAGCAACUUAAUGCACUAAUAUAAAGUUUUGUGCAUCUAAAAUACAUAACAACACCUUAAUGGUAAUAUUUCAUACAGCAUCUAAUAUCUGUGAAGCUUGUGAGCCUUGAGUUGGAUUCGGGGAAACAUUAUUAGCUUCAUAUUGGCCUGGACAAAAAAAUUAUUACCUCAUUAUCUAAGACCAGCAAUAGCUAUUUGUAGACAUCAAACAUUAAUUUGAAACAAUAACAUACCUUUGUUACGUCCUCUUACUCCAUCGCCUCUUGCUCUUGCUCUAUUACCCCCUUGGCCACUUCGGCCUCUAUUCCCUCAUCUUCCUCUAUUACAAGUACCUCAUCUUCCUCUAUGAGCAAUAAAGCUCUCUUGUGAACCACUUACAGCUUAUUUAAAUUGAAAUAUAUAAAUAAUCAAAUCAUCAAUAUUUAUAACAAACUAAAAAUUACUCAAUGAAUAACAAUAAACGAAUUACCACUUUCUUUGUCCUCUUUGAAGUACGUGCUGCAUUAGAACUUUCUCCCGACCCACUAACUCCUUAUUUAAAAUUACAUAGAUAACGAUAAAAAAUUAAUUUCAAUACACAUAAAAACAAUUAAAACAUUAGGUUCAGCGGCUGUUACCUACUGGGCUCUUAAUUCUCUUACUAUCGAUGACCUUAAUGCACAUUUCCUGACAUUGUGGUUCAUCCCACCACAAAAGGAGCAGCAGAUAUAAAAUGAUCUGUUUUUUUUUUAUUGGCUCAGUGGCUGCCCUUUUCCUUGACUUUUUUGGUCUUCCAAUCUUCUUGGUAAUCUCAGGUGGAAAGAGCUUGGGCCUAUCACAAGGGUCCCAUGUAACUUUGUCAUGAAUUGGCUUGAACAUCACUGCAUAUGUGUUCAAGUACGCCUCUUUGCUGAAGUAUUUUGGUAAAUACUCUGUUGUCGUGUGUCUAGCAUGACUAAUUGCAGCCAUAGCAUGAGUACAGGGGAUUCCAGCUAGGUCCCAAUAACCACAAUCACAGGACCUGCUCAUGAGAUCAACAAUGAACCUCCUUGCUGGAUAAUAACCCUUGUCUUUAACCUAACAAAAAUUACAUAAUGAUUAAAUAAUUAUUAUAAGGUUGAGGAAAAAAAAAUUGAUUAACCUAGCAAACAUUCAGGUUCAGGAAAAAAAUAAUUAUAAGGAACAUGAGUUAGAAUUAUACUUGAAAGUGAAGAUCCCCAGAAGCCAUUACAUUCAUCUUGCUUCCACAUUCAUAUACAGCAUCCAAUUUUUUUUUCACUCUAGGUGGAAUGUUGGUCCAAGAUUGUGCUUCUUUUUUCCUUUCUGUGAAGAGUGUCAUGAACAUGCAUCUAAUUUCUUCAAGCAUUGUCAAGCAAGGCUUCUCUCUGUGGGGUAAUAUCCAACUAUUAAAACAUUAUGAAGUGUUGUUAGUUGUACGGUCUACUUUACAAUUCUUGUCAUACUCAUGUCUUGACCAAGUAAACCCAGCAAGCUCAGUCUCCAGCCACUGCCAUGCCUCUAACUUCUCUUUUUUGAGCUUUUCCAUUGCAAUAGCGUAAUCAAACUUGUUAGUGCUACUGACAACCCUCCAAAACAGAUUUCUCAAACUAACGCUAGGAUGUUCUUUGCAGAAGUUAGCAUAUAUAUGCCAAGCACAUGGUCUGCGAUAUGCAGUAGGCCAUGUUAUCUCAAUGGCCCCCAACAAAUCCUUUUGCCUAUCUGAGCAAAAUGUAAUAUGCUCUAAGCCAUUAUCAAAAUACGAAUGCAGAAUUUCUAAAAACCACGACCAGGUUUCAGUAUUCUCUAUCUCACACACUGCUAAUGCUAAUGGGAUCAUUCCAUUAUUAGCAUCCAUACCCACAGCGGCUAAUAGAGCUCCACCAUAUUUUGAUUUCAAGUGACACCCAUCCAACCCGAUAUAUGGCCUACAGCCAUUGUUAAGGGCAUUUUUUUGAGCUGGAAAUGCCAUAAAGAAUCUCUGAAAGAGCACUUUCUCAGGCCUAGUUACAGCAUCACAAAGCACUUUACAAAUUGCACCAAGAUCAUACUUGUGAAUCACUGCAGCAUAUUGAAACAAAUCUUCGUAUCCCCUCGCAUGAUCUCCAUUAAUGUCUUUUCCUGCCCUCUCUCUAGCCCUAUAUAGUUUUAAAUCCCCUAUCCGCACACCAUAAGUCUCCAGCAUAAACUCACGAAGAACAGAAAUCUUCACAUGAGGAUCUACAACAACUUUGCUCUUAAUUUUAUCUGCUAUCUGUUGAGUGUUAGAAAAUGUAUAUUUAUAAAGGAGAAAAUCGUCAUUUUACACUUCAAGUUUUACUAACACCUUUACUUUUAUGAAUUUAACCUUCUUUUGAUUUAAUUCAGUGUGUUUUAUUUUAAUUAAGUAUUUUAUGUAUUUUAGGGGCAUUAUAGUCAUUUCACAAUAAAGGAGAGAUCAGACGGCAAAACGGACAUCACUUUUGAACUCAGGACGGUCAAAAACCUUAGGAAGAGCAUAAAAGGAAAAAUAGCACUAUUCACAUGUACGGUACUAUUCACGUGUACGGUACUAUCUAUGUUACUGUUCACGACACUGUUCACAUAGACGGAUCGAUGACGUGGCAUUAACCGAUGAUGUGGCAUUGACUGAUGAGGUGUCACGAUCCUGUUGGACUAAAAUUCUUAUGUACUGUUGAUGGUGACGUGGCAGCAUAUCAGUGGACGAGAAAUCUCGCGUACGGUGCAUGCAUCACACAGGAUUAUUUUCAACCAAACCGCGUUACUGUUCAUCCGGGUCAAACCGUGUUACUAUUCAUACGCGUGGUCAAAUCGUGGACUGUUGACUGAUGACGUGGCGCAAUCCUGAGCGUCCAAACUGUUUUUAAUCCGAUGGCCAUGAUUUACUCCAUAUAUCUAUAAAAAGGGGGCCUCCCCCCCUAAUUUGAGAGCUCUGAAUCCAUUUUUGGGAUCCAUUUUCUGUAAUUCCUUCUCCAUCUUGUAUUUUCUUUGUAUUUUAAUAAAUUCCCAUUUUGCCCCUAGUUCAAUUAUGAGUAGCUAAUUUUCUUUCAAGCUUGGGUUGAAGGUGAAGUCUCAACAUGUGUCAUGGGCUUAAUUUGGUAAAUUUAUUUUCUCUUCCCCUCUAGUUUUUGUGGAUGUUUUGACUUCUCGUCGACAAAUAAUAAUAAUCUUGUCUAGAUACCGCCUUGGUUACACCGGCUCUCUAGUAUAAGGUUAUUAUUAUUUGGCACGAUAAGCCCUUAGCACCAUAUUGAUUAGAGCGUGGUUCAUGAGGUGUGGAUUCCCCCCUCAUGAUUUAAUUGGCAUUCAUACGGAUUAUUUAGCCCAUGAUGCAUGUUGAUACGGAUCCAGAUACCCAAGUACGUCAAUUUAAUCGAUUUUCUCUACAAUUUAUUCUCGCCAUUGCAAUUCCAAUUUUAGCAUAUUUAUUAUCGUCAUUUCAAUUCCAAUUUUAGCAUAUUUUAAAUCACUUCCACCACAAUUCCAACCACCCAUUUACAGAAUUAAUUCUACACACAAUUAAAAAUCCACCUCCUCGUGGAAUCGACACUCGUCACCAUUGAUCUAUACUACAAUAGAUUCGUGCACUUGCGAGUACAUUAAAAUUUGCACAACACUAUCCAUUUACUGUUCACAGCCACUGACUUUCCAGUCUGUCUACAUUCAUGCUUCUUUUGCAACGCUUUGAUUGCAAAUCCACCAUUUCCCCUUAUUUUACCUCCCAUCACAUACCAUGGACACUCAUUAAUCUUGCAUUUUCCAUAAAAUCUCUUAGGCUCAUUGUACACCUUUGUAAUUUCAAAGCCUUUAUCCACCAUCACUUCACCUAACACAUAUCUAAAAUGCUCAACAUUAUCAAAUACAUCUCCUAACCUCAUCAUAUGUUUACCAUUACGCCCUGGCUUAUAUGCAUGCACUUCAAUAUAAUCCUUCAGCUGAGUGGUACUCAAAUCAUAAUCUAAAUCUAAUGUGUCUGCUAACAGCUGAGGAUCUACUUCAGCUGUUUCAUCGUUAGAACUAGAACCCCUAGCAUUAUCCAUAAUAUCUGCACCAUUAUCUUCAUUUUGGUCAUCGUCAUCAGCAUCAUCAUCAUUAGUGUCAUCUAUACGACUCCUAUCAGUUGAAUAUACUACAUCAUCAUCAUCAUUCUCAUGUCCAUCAUUCUCAUUCAGCUCUGUUGGUGGCCCUUGUAUGCCUCCAGUCCUAGGUGGUGGUUCAUUUCCACCAUCAUUCAUCCAUGUAAUUUGCUCUACAGAUAACUGCACUCCACAGUUAUGUAGCAUCGCUUGUAACACCCCACAAAGUGGUAAAUCAGGACGUAGGGUUGGCAAAAUUGUGGCUUCAAACACUGCCACUUCCAUUGAAUCAUGUGCAGCGAACUGAGCCUGUAAGACUGCCUCAGAAUCUACAAUAAUCGAAAGCUUGUUCCUUGGGUUGGUAACCGAUAACUGCACACUUUCAAGAGUCAUCAACCCAUGCUCCCUGGUAAUCUUCAAUGCUUCAUUCUUCAUCUGCUACAGGGUAUAUUCUUCAGGUUCAAUCAACCUUAUACGAUGUCUUUCACCUUUGUAAAGUAAAUGUAGUUGUAAUGGUAACAUCAUCUACAAGAUUAAAAACGAGGAAACAUUUUGAAUAACUGAAAUUACAGCAUAAUUCAAAGCAAUUUAAUUAGGUAAAAAGUAAUGAAAAAUAACUAAAAUUAUGGCCAAUAACCAAAAUUUCAGCAAAACGGCAAAUGCAUGUAAGCUUGAUGGUUACAAAUAAAAAAUUAAUUAACAGUAAGCAAAAAUUAAUUAACAGUAGGCAACUAAUAAUCCUAAUCUAUUAAAUUCAAGUGCUAAUCACAACUCAAAGCAAUUUAAUUAGGUAAAAAGUAACGAACAAUAACCAAAAUUAUGCCCAAUAACCAAAAUUACAGCAAAACGGCAAAUGCAUGUAAGCUUGAUGAUUACAAAUAAAAUGGCAAAAAUUCAUUAACAAUAACCAAGUAGUAAUCCUACUUACAAUGGACAGAGUAGAAGACAGUAGAGAUGGAAGAACACUGCUGCGAGAGUGAGAGAGAUAUGCGUCAGUUACAAUGAGCGAGAGAGGGCGGAGAUGGAAGAAGAAUCGAGAGAGAGGGGGGUUGAUUUCGAUUUCUAGGGCUCCAUGUCCAAAUUGCUCGCUUUCUUUACAAUUGCAAAACGCAACGUUUUCGCCUCACGUGAUAUGUCCAAAAUACCCUUAUGACGUCAGCAUAAUUUUUAUUCAGUUAACGGAAUGGUGGGAAAAUGCUAACAGUUUAAACAUUUAGUGGUAAAAUGAUAGUUUUACCAAACCAUGGUACUGACAUGAUGUGUCAGAAUACCUUUGGUGGGAAAAUGAUAAUAUCCCAUAUUAUUUUAAUUAAAAUAACUAUGUUUUCCUUUUGGAACCUUAAAUGCUGAUGUGGCUCUUCAAAUAAGUAACUCAUGAAAAUAACUCUAUUAGUAACUUUUUGUUUUUUUUUUUUUUUUCCUUUGGGGAAAGGCCAUUAAUAACUGCAUAAAGAGAAAUGCUAUAUUUUAUCAGUAAUUCAAUGAGAGGCAAAGGUGAAGUAUGCAUUGCACGAGCAUGAACUUGUGCUUGGUCGUGAUGAUGAAGGAUGUGCACGUGCCAUUCAGCCGUGUUGAGUGGGACUUUUUUCUCCAUACCAAGUGUGCCUUGGGAGAGAACAAAGGAACCAAUAUAUGAAGAAUUAAUGUGAUCAUGAUAAUGAUAUCAUUCAUGGGUUUGAAACUCUUCUCUGUUUCUCAUCUGAUAAAUCAAAAUUUUCGCAAUUGCAGGCUUCCACCUCCAUAAGCAAAUAACCUCUUCAAGAUGCAAAUAAUCAAUCAUUGUACCAACAGUCCCAAUUCAGUUGCUUGUCCCAUUAUUAACAACAAAUAUGGAAAAAGUUUGGCAGGGGAACGACAGGUCGUCUAAUAACCAACGACGUUGUAUCAUAUUACUAAUUUUCAGACGACGUGUCAGUCUAAUAAUUAGAAAAUAUACCUCUUAAGCUUGUCGUAUCCUAGAAAACGACAUUGCAUCCGAAUUACAAAUUUAAAAACGACAUAACGUCUAUGAGUUUUUGGGUUGAAUUUAUUUAGACGAUGAUUCUAAAUUUCUAGUCUGGGGAUGGCCCAAAAACAUCACAGCUGCAGAAUUACAUUAAGAGCAUCACCAAAAGGCUCUUUAAAUAAGAUUUUAUUAAUUAUUUGAAGAGCCACCUCAAUAUUUAAGGCUCCAAAAGACACUACAAUUAAGAUUUUUUAAAUAAAAAAUUAUUCUCUCUCUUCAAAUUUGAAGAGUUGAUUUCUCCCUCUUCAAUUUAUAUUUUAUUACUUUUCAUUGGAGAAAAAGAGAGAAGUAUUUUAAUUGCUAUUGACUUUUUCUUUAAAAAAAUAAUUAUUUGAUUAAAAUAAUAUUAAGUUAUUUUUAUUUGAAGAGUCUUUUGGAGAAUAUCAUAUUUUUUUACCCUUUUAUUUGCCACAUAGGUAAGCAAAUAGAUAUUUGAAGAGUAAAAUUUAUAGUCUUUUAGAGAUGCUCUAACACCCCCUGCAGACCAGAGGUAGAGGAGUGACCAUCGAGUUUCCCUAAUGUUCAUGGGGAAGUGUGCUAAAUGGCCUCAUUUAGACAAGAAAAAUAAUAAAUAAGUAUGUCUAUCAUGUUUAUGAUUGAAACUUUCUGUCAUAAAUUAUUUUGUUUGUCACAUAAUUAUUAAUAUUUUCGUUUAUAUCGAAAGAGCACCACAGGAUUUGUGUUCUUCAUGGGAGAUACUGCUUUCACAUGGAUGUCAAAGAAGCAACUAAUUGUCACAUUAUCCACCUAUGAAGCUGAGUAUGUAGCUGCCACAUCAAGUGUUUGUCAUGCAAUUUGGCUCAGAAAUUUACUGAAGGAGUUGGGCUUGCCACAAGAAGAGCCAAGCAGGAUUUGUGUUGAUAACAAAUCAACAAUUGCCCUAUCCAAAAAUCUAGUCUUUCAUGAUCGAAGCAAACACUUAGAUACUUGCUACCAUUUCAUAAGAGAGUGUAUUGCAAGAAAAGAAGUGCAAAUCAAGUAUGUAAAAUCACAAGAUCAAGCAGCUGAUAUCUUCACCAAGCCGCUCAAAAAAGAAGACUUCGUAAAAUUCAGAAGUUUGCUUGGUGUCACAGGAUCAAGUUUAAGGGCGGGUGUUGGAUCAUAAACUUUAUCCAAGAUGAAUAAAUUCAAGCCCAAGUAUAUGAAGCUUCUUGUGGUAGGUGUGGUUAGUGAAGUAGGUGAGUGGUAGGUUUUAAUGAAUGGUGAGGAUUUGUGUAGUAGUUUAAUAAAUGAAUGGUUGUGAUUAAUUUGUUUCAUGUAUAAAUACCCCCUCUCCCCUUUGGUUUAUGCAUCAAGUGAAGUAAUAAAAUCUCUAAGUUGUAGAGAGUGAAAAAUAAGAGUUGUAGUUGGUGAAGAGUGUUGUUGAAGAAAUAAAAUGGUGUGUUUUUUGAGUGUUUAAUUUAUUGAUUCUCCAACAGUGUAUUAGCUCGUUUAAACUCAAUAUAUCACAAGAGCUUGAUUAAUCUCCAACUUCUAGUUUCAUCCCUUUUCAUUUGUUGCAUUUGUUGUAAACGAAUAAUCUCAAUUGAUUUCAGAAGAAGUGGCGUCUAGCUUGGCAUUUAGAGCAUUCAAUUGAUUUCAUUUUGGACUCAGUUGCCGCCAAGUGAUGAAUAUAGGUUGGCGAGAACUAUAUAUCCUGGUGACUGGCGAGUUACUAGUUAAUCAAGUACUUUGAUUACUGUUGAUCUUAAGUUGAUGUGUUUGAUAAAGAAAUUUGUAUCCAAUAUUUAUUUAUUUCGGGCCAUCAUACUCUCUAGGAACAUUGACAAUGGAGUACAAGAGGUAGCAUACUAUUAGACCCAUUAAACUCAAAGCAAUGGCUGCAUAUUUGAAAUUUUCAAUAAUAAAUUUAUUUCAAUAAAUAUAUAACGCAUGGUUUUCAUAGCUCACGAAUGCACAUUUAUGCG